UACGUAGGGUGCGAGCGUUGUCCGGAAUUAUUGGGCGUAAAGGGCUCGUAGGCGGUUUGUCGCGUCGGGAGUGAAAACUCAGGGCUUAACCCUGAGCCUGCUUCCGAUACGGGCAGACUAGAGGUAUGCAGGGGAGAACGGAAUUCCUGGUGUAGCGGUGGAAUGCGCAGAUAUCAGGAGGAACACCAAUAGCGAAGGCAGCUCGCUGGGACGUUACUGACACUGAGGCGCGAAAGCGUGGGGAGCGAACAGG
rnacentral:rRNA from 1 species